GGUUAGAUGGCCGAGUGGUUAUGGCGCCGUGUCCAGGUGAGCUGAUAGUUUACUAUCAGUACCACGAACAAAUUCGCGGUGGAGCAAUCCGCGUGGGUUCGAGUCCCACUCUAAUCA
rnacentral:tRNA from 1 species